rnacentral:rRNA from 1 species
UAAGAGGUCCCGCCUGCCCUGUGACUAUAAGUUUAACGGCCGCGGUAUUUUAACCGCGCGAAGGUAGCGCAAUCACUUGUCUUUUAAAUGAAGACCUGUAUGAAUGGCCUCACGAGGGCUUAACUGUCUCCUCUCUCCAGUCAAUGAAAUUGAUCUUCCCGUGCAGAAGCGGGAAUAAUUACAUAAGACGAGAAGACCCUAUGGAGCUUUAGACACUAGAGAAAACCACAUUAUAUACCCCUGUAUAAAGGAAUAAACCGGUGGCACUUUCCCCUAUGUCUUUGGUUGGGGCGACCGCGGAGAGCCGAAUAACCCCCGCGCGGAAUGGGCAUACCACUUCCUUCAACCCAGAGCCACAGCUCUAAUUAACAGUACUUCUGACCACUAAAGAUCCGGCGUAAGCCGAUCAACGGACCGAGUUACCCUAGGGAUAACAGCGCAAUCCCCUUCUAGAGUCCAUAUCGACAAGGGGGUUUACGACCUCGAUGUUGGAUCAGGACAUCCUAAUGGUGCAGCCGCUAUUAAGGGUCCGUUUGUUCAACG